CCUACGGGGGGCAGCAGUGAGGAAUAUUGGUCAAUGGGCGAGAGCCUGAACCAGCCAAGUCGCGUGAGGGAGUACUGCCCUAUGGGUUGUAAACCUCUUUUGUCGGGGAGCAAAAGCCGGACGUGUCCGCCUGUGAGAGUACCCGAAGAAAAAGCAUCGGCUAACUCCGGGCCAGCAGCCGCGGUGAUACGGAGGAUGCGAGCGUUAUCCGGAUUUAUUGGGGUUAAAGGGGGCGUAGGCGGUUUGGUAAAGUAGAGGGGAAAUGUCGGGGCUCAACCCCCAAACUGCCUCUAAGACUGGUGGACUAGAGAAUAGGUGAGGUAGGCGGAAUGUAUGGUGUAGCGGUGAAAUGCAUAGAGAUCAUACAGAACACCGAUUGCGAAGGCAGCUUACCAACCUAUAUCUGACGUUGAGGCACGAAAGCGUGGGUAGCAAACAGGAUUAGAUACCCGGGUAGUC
rnacentral:rRNA from 1 species